AACGAACGCUGGCGGCAGGCCUAACACAUGCAAGUCGAACGCCCCGCAAGGGGAGUGGCAGACGGGUGAGUAACGCGUGGGAACCUACCUUUCGGUGCGGAAUAACUUCGGGAAACCAAAGCUAAUACCGCAUACGCCCUACGGGGGAAAGAUUUAUCGCCGAUAGAUGGGCCCGCGUAGGAUUAGCUAGUUGGUGAGGUAACGGCUCACCAAGGCUACGAUCCGUAGCUGGUCUGAGAGGAUGAUCAGCCACACUGGGACUGAGACACGGCCCAGACUCCUACGGGAGGCAGCAGUGGGGAAUAUUGGACAAUGGGCGCAAGCCUGAUCCAGCCAUGCCGCGUGAGUGAAGAAGGCCUUAGGGUUGUAAAGCUCUUUUAGUGGGGACGAUAAUGACGGUACCCGCAGAAUAAGCCCCGGCUAACCUCGUGCCAGCCGCCGCGGUAA
rnacentral:rRNA from 1 species